UAAGGAAUAUUGGUCAAUGGACGCAAGUCUGAACCAGCCAUGUCGCGUGAAGGAUGAAGGUCCUCUGGAUUGUAAACUUCUUUUAUCUGGGACGAAAACGGGAUUUUUAUCUCAAUUGACGGUACCAGAGGAAUAAGCACCGGCUAACUCCGUGCCAGCAGCCGCGGUAAUACGGAGGGUGCGAGCGUUGUCCGGAUUUACUGGGUGUAAAGGGCGCGCAGGCGGGAUAAAAAGUCAGUGGUGAAAUCCUACAGCUUAACUGUAGAACUGCCUUUGAUACUUUUAUUCUUGCGUUCGGGAGAGAGAGACGGAAUUCCAGGUGUAGUGGUGAAAUACGUAGAUAUCUGGAAGAACACCAGUUGCGAAGGCGGUCUCUUGGUCCGACACUGACGCUGAGGCGCGAAAGCGUGGGGAGCAAACA
rnacentral:rRNA from 1 species